rnacentral:rRNA from 1 species
CCUACGGGAUGCAGCAGUGAGGAAUAUUGGUCAAUGGGCGUAAGCCUGAACCAGCCAAGUCGCGUGAGGGAUGAAGGUUCUAUGGAUCGUAAACCUCUUUUAUAAGGGCAUAAAGUGUGGGACGUGUCCUGUUUUGUAUGUAUCUUAUGAAUAAGGAUCGGCUAACUCCGUGCCAGCAGCCGCGGUAAUACUGAGGAUCCGAGCGUUAUCCGGAUUUAUUGGGUUUAAAGGGUGCGUAGGCGGCCUUUUAAGUCAGCGGUGAAAGUCUGUGGCUCAACCAUAGAAUUGCCGUUGAAAAUGGGAGGCUUGAGUAUGUUUGAGGCAGGCGGAAUGCGUGGUGUAGCGGUGAAAUGCUUAGAUAUCACGCAGAACCCCGAUUGCGAAGGCAGCCUGCCAAGCCAUGACUGACGCUGAUGCACGAAAGCGUGGGGAUCAAACAGGAUUAGAUACCCCGGUAGUC